AUACGCCUUGAAUCGAACAAAAAAAAAGGGACCAGCCAAUGUGGAUGAAAGAGAAAUCUAAAGAACUAAACAGUUUUUGUAUUUUUUAUAUACUCAUACAAACUUUGUCUAAACAUGGAGUACGGAGUUGUUGGCCAUCGCCCGCCGCCCCUUAAUUUGACCGCGGCCACCGACCAGACUUGCCCGGCGCCCUCCGCGUUGACGAGGGCAGCAGGUGUCGAGGGAGGGAGUACGCUGGGGAUGGAGGCAGCGAGGAAGCACGUGAGAGCCGAGCGGAGACCAAAGGCAGACGGGUUUGGCGGCUUGGACCUGCCGCUCUCGUGGUGAGCCGCGGGGAUGGAGGGAAGCGAGAGAGGCAAGACAUGAGCAGCCGAGCGUGAGCGGCAGGUUACGAGAUGGAUAAGGUUCGGGGUGGAGUGC
rnacentral:lncRNA from 1 species